CGGAGGGUGCAAGCGUUAUCCGGAUUCACUGGGUUUAAAGGGUGCGUAGGCGGCUAUUUAAGUCAGUGGUGAAAGCCCGCAGCUUAACUGUGGAAUUGCCAUUGAAACUGAGUAGCUCGAAUCUGGUUGAAGUGGGCGGAAUACAUCAUGUAGCGGUGAAAUGCAUAGAUAUGAUGUAGAACACCAAUUGCGAAGGCAGCUCACUAAGCCAACAUUGACGCUGAGGCACGAAAGCGUGGGGAGCAAACAGGAUUAGAUACCCUGGUAGUCCACGCCCUAAACGAUGAAUACUCGAUGUAUGCCCUAUUGUGGGUGUGCGUCCAAGCAAAAGCGUUAAGUAUUCCACCUGGGAAGUACGGCCGCAAGGUUA
rnacentral:rRNA from 1 species